GCUUAAAGCCGCUGAUAGCCUUACUCGGGCGGAUCGGGAGUCAGGUCUCUGCGGAGUCCAUACUAGGCUGCUGGAAAGCUGGAGCUGCGCCCAUGAUUUCACCAGCUGGCAGCCCUGGCCGCACAAGGUGGAAGGCCCGGGAACUGCUGGGGAAGGACGCUUGACCCACGCCCCUUCCCACGUUGCUCUUCCUGUCUGUCUGCACUCAGUCGUUCCUGGCUCAGCUGUCAGUUAGCCUGGUAGGGAAGGCGGUCGCCUGUCAUUCACAGGACAGGCUCCUGAGUCCAGGGUGCGUUUCCCAAUGCCAUACUGCCCAGGGUAGAGCUCAGGGCAGGUCAGGAGGGGCUUUAACAUGAGAAGUGUGGGGUUGAGUUGGUCUGGUGGCUCAUGCCUAUAAUCCCAAUGCUCAGGAGGCUGAGGCAGGAGGACUGGUGUGAGUUUGAGGCCAGCCUGGGCUAAAGAGUGAGACCCCUGUCUCAAAUGAAAAACCAAAAGAAAUACAAGGCUGGAGUUCAGGCUUUGCCCUGGGAAGUCACGUGGUCUGGGACAAAGCACAUAAUCUUGUGUAGGACUUGGGUAUUCUUGUAAAGCAAAGAUAACAAAGAUAAAAUUCUUGCUUUACUCUUUUCCUCACCUUUAUCUAGGUGUAAAAGAGAUAUCCAUGAAGGUGUUCAAAAAGGAAACGAGUACAGACGUCCUAAGACAUUGACAGUGCAGGACAAGCAAGAAGUAGUCAGGCUCGGGGCUUGGGACAGGGGUGGAAGGCACGGAGCCAGGGGACCCUGAAGCUUGGAGCCAAAAGUAUUAACUUCAGCAAAGGUGACCGCUUCACUCUUCCCGCCAUCCUGCCCUGGCCCCUAGACAGGGCCGCACAAACUGGCUGACGGUUUCUUUGUUGGAAUGAUCCCAGACAGGGGCUGAAGCCCCCAAGAGUAAGGUCUUGGAUGCAUCAGGAGACCAUGAAACUGCCAUUUCUCUCCUCACUGCUAUCAGAUGUCGCUUUGGACACCAAGUUGAUUUCUUUCCUCCUCUUCCUGCGGUGCCUUCUGUAUAUUUCCCUUACGGCCCCGUCUUUACAGCGUCGGGUGGUUCUUCUCUCAAAGACCAGCUACAUUUGAAAUCUUAAGCUUCUCUGUGGAAGGAACUAUCAUGUUGAACUCUCAUCUCUAACCUGUCUCCGCCCCCCCCCAACCAGUAAUUCUAAGUGACCACGUCCUCACCUGAGUAGAAUUUAAACAUUUACAGGCCCUGCAAGUUUGCACUGCUUCGCCUGAUACAGACCUUUCAGAUAAGCUGGAUGAAAUAUGACUGUGGACAAAGCUAUGACCCAUCCAAGCUAUGAAUGUUCAUGUAACUAUCUAUGGGCGACACUUAACUCUGAAAAGUAUACAUGCACAAUGGUAAACUAAUUAAAUUCAAAUGCAAACUGUGUGCAAGAGCGCCACCUGCUGGAUAUUUGAGCAACAGUCCGGCUCGGUUGGGAGAAUCAGCACUUAGGGUUUUAGAUGGUAUCAGUCACUGAAAUGAAUAAAUGUGUUUACUGGCA